rnacentral:tmRNA from 1 species
GGGGGCGACCUGGUCUCGACGAGGGCAAUGACGUUCUGAAACGCGUGUCGAGUGGGCCUACACACUCGUAAAUACAAAUGGGCAAAACCAAUAAAAGCCAACGACAACGUUGAGCUUGCUCUCGCGGCGUAAAAACCCGUUGUAGAGCACGGUUGCCUCGGCCACAGCUCAGAGGCUAGGGGCCAACCGAACCAACCUGGGCUGGUCUCUCCAAGUGUUCGGGCGCGGGAGACGAGAUUCAGCCGAACAGGCCUGUCAGCAUCCCGUCCGUGGGAGUCUGAAGGGUGUCGGCAGAAAAUCACGGGCGACACACGUGGUGUUUCAGUUCUGAAGGCUUUCGGACGCGGGUUCGAUUCCCGCCGCCUCCAUAG